rfam:Myotis davidii contig170608, whole genome shotgun sequence.
AGACUCAUGUAUAGAAAAGGCAGUGAACAGGCUGUGUUCUUACACUGACUGUACAGAAAUAGGAGGCAGAGUAAACUUACUCCAUAUACACCUCAGCUCAGGCUCUUUGCCUGGUCUGUACUGUGAAUGGGGAGACAUUG